CCUGCCCCAGAAGUGCUGCAUAUGUGGCUGCUGUGUCACAGGUGUAUCAGAGGGUGGCGGAGAGGAGAGAGGCUAUGUCUAGCCUCAGUGUUCUGACCUGUGAGCACCAAAUAAUUAGUAGCCUGACAUU